GCCGGGUUAGCUAUGUUGGUAGAAUCAGACUUUUAAUAUGAGGGCCAUGGGUUCGAGUCCCAUAUCGGGCU
rnacentral:tRNA from 1 species